rnacentral:ncRNA from 1 species
CCUGCUGUGCGACCAGCAGUAGCCUAGGAAGACGUGCGUCACUGGUAACGGUGGGGUUCGAAGCUCUUCCGACAAAGUAGCCCCCGGAUGUAUCGGGCGUGCAGAUGCCGCGAGGUAGAUGCAUGGAUGUCCCCAGCAGCAGGGGACGAGGAGC